rnacentral:lncRNA from 1 species
UGCAGCCUGCCAGUCUAAAGAGCAGGAAAACCAGGUGGGUAGCCUCUUUUGCCUUUGGCAUCUCUGUACCCCUUCUCACAGGGGAAUUGGUUAUAGCCCUACUCCCAAACCUGCAGGUCCUGCCAUGGUGACUGCUGAGUUACAGGUUGCCUCUCCCUGACCCUCAGCCCCAUAGAGUCUGCUUCACUACAAUCCUUAUAAGGGAUCAGACACACAGGGACGAGUUCAGUUCACCUGGGCUGCCUACUAUUCUCUGUCCACCGGUCUAGAUUUCUGCCAGCAUUCCCUUUCCUCAGCAGUGACUAGGAUCCAAACCUCUAGUCUGCCUGACGCCACUCUAAUGAAACAAAGCGCCACCUUAAAGCUGGUCCAGCUGCUGAAAUCCUGGUGAUCUGCCCCCAUGCCCACUGGUGUUAUACCUGCGCACCUGCCUCCCCUCGUCCCAUCCCUUUGCAGAGCCCCUGCGGUUUGACUGGCUAGGCCAGUCCUGGAUCUUCGAGAAUUUGGCCUGCAACUCUUUCCUCUACCUGCUCUGGAUCACACAGGGCACCAAGGUCCUAGUUUACCUUACCCAGCUCUCCCAGAUUGGCGCAUUUAAAACACUGGUUUCCUUGGUAAAAUGGGAAGACUGAAAAAUUACUCUCAGGGUCAAGCAAGUUAAAAAACAUUUCCUUUGUUUUAAUGCAAAUCUAAAAGUUACACAAUAGAGAUCAGCCCCUCCUGUGGGCUGUCAGAUGUCUAGCACCUCCACUUGGCUGUGUCAGUUUGGUCCAGUUACUGAACUUGGAGGGUCUCUGUUGGUUGGUUUGAAACCUCGGGAGCUUCCGAGUGAAAUCUGAAACUGGGCUCAAACACAGAGGGUAAGGAGAGCCUGUCGAAAGAGGCAUCCACUCCAGAUUGAGAGGUGGCAGGUUUAGGAAGAAGGGAACUUACAUAGGAGGCUUCUCUUGGGUGCUGCAAGACCAGAUCUCCACACCCACCCGCCAGAACCUUAAACGUGUAUUUAGAGACUCUAAUGGGGUUCAGUCACGUGUUCAGUCCUGAUGGUCUCAACAAUGCAUUAUCCUCUCAAAGCUACAUCCUUAAAAAUGGCUCCCACUGUGGGACUGUGAGUGGAAUGUAUAUUCCAAGGACAGGGCACGGGGCAGGAUUGUUGAGGAGCUUCUGAUUGCCUGGGUCCAGCCAGAGGGUCAACCAGUGGUCGCAUCCUCCAAUGACUUCAUCCAGCACCAUUUCUCCACCCGUAAAAUGGGAGCACCCAUGGUGCAUGUCUGCAGAUAUCUUGUGAGGAUUUUUGAAAUAAUGCUACGUCAUAGUGUUAUUGUCGUUUCAGAUAUGUUUCUUUUUAAAGCAAAAGGUUAAGCUUUCUUACUGAGAUUUUCAGUGUAUCCAAAUUACAUAGGGUUAUCACAUGCUGAAAUUUCACCAGGGACCGUCCUCACGCAGCAUGAUGCUAUGAUGACUGAAAUGUGUGUGGGAACUGCGUCCUCACUUUGCCUGGUUCGCUGGUCACUGACAUUAGCCCAGCAAAGCAAGGACUAUCUGUGUAUGCAAAGCACUGGCCUAGAUUCUUUAUUUCAUAUCCGUACAGUCCUCACUUCCCUCUCUGUAAUGUUCUUACUGUAUUCCCCAUUUUUUGCAGAGGGAACUAAGUAAGGCUUAAGAAUGUUCGUGAAAUUUUCCUAGAUCCCAAAUCUAUCAGUCAAACCCAGGUAUGGAUGGCAUCAAAGGCCACAUUUUUCCCACUGACAUAUGCUUGGUGCUUUCUCUGAGAAUAAAGUAGAAUAACAAUGUAUAUACAGAUGGCCGACAAGCACAUGAAAAGAUGCUCGGCAUCAGUAAUUAUUAGAGAAAUUCCAGUCAAAACUACAAUGAGGUAUUACUCAAACUGGUCAGAAUGGCCAUCAUCAAAAAGUCUACAAAUAAUAAAGGCCAGAGAGGGUGUGGAGAAAAGGAAACCCUCCUGUGCUAUUAGUGGAGCUGUAAAUUGGUGCAGUCACUAUGGAGAACAGUAUGGAUAUUCCUUUAAAAACUAAAAAUAGAGUUACUACAGGAUCCCGCAGUCCCACUUCUGGGCAAUUAUCCAGAGAAAACUCUAAUUCCAAAAGAUACAUGCAGAGUUCUCUGGUGGCUCAGUGGGUUAAGGAUCCGGCGUUUUCAUUGCUGUGGCUUGGAUCACUCUUGUGGUGUGGAUUCAGUCUCUAACCCAGGAGCUUCCAUGUGCUGCAGGAAUGGCCAAAAAAAAAGGAUACAUGCACCCCAGUGUUCAUAGCAUUACUGUUUACACUAGCCAAGACAUUGAAGCAACCUAAGUGUCCAUCGACAGAUGAAUGGAUCAAGAAAGUGUGGUAGAUGUAUUCAGUGGAGUAUUAUUCAGCCAUAAAAAGGAAUGCAGUAAUGUCACUUGCAGCAACACAGACAGACUUGGAGAUUAUCGUACUAAAUGAAGUAAGUCAGACAGAAAAAGGCAAAUAUCAGAUGAUAUAGCUUAUAUGUAGAAUCUAAAAAAAAUGAUAACAAAAAUGAAAUUAUUUACAAAACAGAAAUAGACUCACAGACCUACAAAACAAACUUAAGGUAAUCCAAGGGGGAAGAGGAAGUAAGGGAUAAAUUAGGAGUUUGGGAUUAACAUAUACAUACUACUAUAUAUAAAACAGAUUAACAACAAGGACCUACUGUAUAGCAGAGGGAGCUGUAUUCAGUAUCUUAUAACCUAUAAUGAAAAAGAAUCUGAAAAAGAAAAUAUAUAUAUCUGAAUCACUUUACUAUACACCUAAAACUAAUAUAUAGUAAAUCAAUUGUACUUCAACUUUUUUUUUGAAAAAGUAUAUAUGUUUUUUAAGGUCUCAAUUCAAAUGGAAUGCUUUCUCAAGUAUUUGAUAAAUAGCAAAGAAAUUUUUGUUUCAAGUUAUUUUUACAUCUUCAGUAUUUAGAGCAUAUUCCAGCCAUCAAUAAUAUUUUGUUACACGGAGCCUAAUCGUUGUUAAAAAGAAAAAUCAGCAAGUAUAUGGAGGCUCCCUUUUUUCUGCUGUAUAUUUUUUCAAUCUUACUGAAUACCUUGAAAAUUUCUUUCAGUAUACAUUGGAUUUGCCAUUUCAGAAGUGGUUAUGUCACUGUUUUAAUCUCAUAAAGCAGAGUUUGCGGAAAUAAAAAUGUUGGUUUUCUCUCUGAGAUGAGGAGGUGAACAAAGGUUUUAAUCUGACAUGCAAACUGAAAAAUAGGAACAUCUGUUUGUGAUGUUGAGAUCUGGCUUCAGUGUGUAUUCCUUCAUGUUCAGCCAACACAGGCCAGGUAUUAUUAUGAUGCACUGGGCUAGAUGGUCUAAAAUACCUUCCUACUUAUCUUUACUUUAUAUGCAUUUUUUUUCAGUUGUAUUUGUAGAAAAAGGAUGUGUUCGGAGGAUGACAUAAGAGCAACUUAUUGAGUGAUAAUAGUCUAGGAAGUGAUGGAGCCAGGAUUUUAAACAGCCGAUGUGGCUCUAGCCUGGAGCCAUCCUCCUUGUUUCCAUACCGACUCAAGCUCCAUCUCUUGCUUAGUUGCUUCACAACUUCUUUCACUAUUUUAAAAUAAUUCUUCACCCAUUUUUAUUAGCAUUAUCAAGUCAUAGUUCAACUCAGCUUAUCCUGCAAAAGUGUGUCAUGAAUCAUAGAUUAUUUUUUGCACAUAAUCAUUUUCAGAUAAGCUGCAGUAAGACUCACCGGCUCCUUAAUUUUCCAGAAAUUGCUCACUUGCAUGCACAGGAUUCAUGUUCUUUGCUCUUGGCAAGCAGACAUUGCCACUUGCCCUAAGUCUUGAAACUGACCUAGUCUCCUCUUAAUAGUUUAGGGAAUCAGCAGCUUUGGCGAUGCAGUAUUUUUGUGGAUUCCAACAAAGGAGUCAAGGAGAAGAUAACCUCUCCAAAGAUCACUAUCUAGCUAGCGAGACCAAUUUAUCCACUUGAUGGUGAAAGUUGUGAAUUGUUCAAAAGUUUUCUAAAGCACGCAAUGUCACUGGCUUGACUCUCCUGACUGCCAAAUUGGAGGAGGCAAGAGAGAUGGCAUGUUCUCGAUAAACAGUUCUGCAGCUGUUGAAAAGGUCAAGUGGUUUAGCAAGUUCUUGCCUAAGGACAGCCCUUUGCCUCCCAGUCCACAGGCUUGCUUUAGAAUGUAGGAAAGUGAACCGCCCUGAGCUCAGCUAACUACUCAGGCAAGUAGCAUUAAUGCGGAGUCUGCCUCCCUUGGGACACGGAGAGCCACCCCUUGCCAAGGAAGUUUCUGACUACACUGUUAGUGCAAGGAAACCCAAGGUGAGGUGCAUUCAGGCCCAAAUAAGCCCAGGAGUCUGGUCAGAGACUGGGAGUUUGGAAGCAGAAUUAUUUAGGUUCGGGCUCUAAACUUCAUGAUCACCAACCACCUCCUUCACUAUGAAGCCUGUGCAGUGCUGUGUAUCCCUAAAGCAGCUCUCCAUUUGGAAUCCAUAAAAUGCAUUUAUUUGUUGGAGUUCCUGCUGUGACAUAGUGGGUUAGAGAUCUGGCAUUGUCUCUGUGAGGGUGAGGGUUCAAUCCCCAGCCCGGCUCAGUGGGUUUAAAAUCUGAUAUUGCCACAGCUAUGGCGUAGGUCACAGCUGCAGCUUGGAUUUGAUCCCUGGCCUGGGAACUUCCAUAUGCA